UCGUGUGCAGCGCGCUCACUGGCGCAGCAGCAGAAACGGCGGCGGCGCGUGUGUGGCGUGUGCUAUCGCGCGUGUGUGACGUUGACGUUGCUGCCGACACCUGGCCGGCUGGUGUGACGCCGGCUGACAGGACCUACCGGCGUUGCUGCGUCCCGGGCCGCUGCUCCCGCGCCACCGUCGUUCCGGUCACAUACAACUUCUGCAACUAUCACCCUAUCACUCGCCAACAGUAUCCUGUGCAGGUGUGAGAAGAGUCACAACAUUGGAGCUUCAAGCAUCCAAGUCUUGCGCAAGAUUAUCCUGCACAAGCGCUGUUUCAUGCUGGCGUAAGCUUGAACCCAAUCUGAGAGAGAGAUCUGCUUUAGUCAAAGGCGGCGGCGACGGCGCCUCCCAGCGGGGAAGCAGCCGGGACAGGACGGCAGGCAGUGCGAGCUGCCGACGCUCCGCGAGAUCUGCGCUCCAGCGCACAGGUAGGUAGCCUGCAGGGACACACGGGAGCACAACUUCUACCUCUGCGACGGGCUAAACUCGCGUCUGGAGUGCAGCGCUCGUGCCGUGAAGCGGAGAAAGGAUAUAUUUAGUGCCGGCCAGUGAGAGUCGACAGUGUCGCGUCAGUUCUGCAGCAUCGUUGGACUGGAGCACGCCGUUUCUUCGUUCGCAAAGUGAGACCGAGUUUUGUGGCAGUGCGUGGUUGUGCUCGAGCGAGACAGUGCAGAUUGUAGAGUGGCGAUAAAGUCGAGUGCGAUUUGUCGGAGUGUAGUCUUGUGGUGCGGUUGGGUAUGGUCGUCUAGAAGAGUGUCGGGUCCUCCGACGGUGUGGAUGUUUCGGCCGACGCGUUGGCUAGGAGUGCGUGCCGUGUCGAGUGUCGGAGCAGAAAGCUCUCGAGGCGGGCGGCGGUGAGGGGCUGGGGCGCGCGGCCAUGGCGCCAUGAGCGC